rnacentral:rRNA from 1 species
UACGUAGGGAGCGAGCGUUGUCCGGAUUUAUUGGGCGUAAAGCGCGCGUAGGCGGUUCGGUAAGUCGGGUGUGAAAACUCCAAGCUCAACUUGGAGCCUGCAUUCGAAACUGCUGUGACUAGAGUCAGGUAGGGGAACACGGAAUUCCAGGUGUAGCGGUGAAAUGCUUAGAUAUCUGGAGGAACACCAGUGGCGAAGGCGGUGUUCUGGGCCUGUACUGACGCUGAUGCGCGAAAGCGUGGGGAGCGAACAGG